UUGGAGGGCAAGUCUGGUGCCAGCAGCCGCGGUAAUUCCAGCUCCAAUAGCGUAUAUUAAAGUUGUUGCAGUUAAAAAGCUCGUAGUUGAAUUUCGGGGUUAGUAGGUUGGUCAUGCCUCUGGUAUGUACUGGUCUCACUGAUUCCUCCUUCCUGAUGAACCUUAAUGCCAUUAAUUUGGUGUUUUGGGGAAUUUGGACUGUUACUUUGAAAAAAUUAGAGUGUUUAAAGCAAGCUAACGCUUGAAUACAUUAGCAUGGAAUAAUGAAAUAGGACGUUCGAUCCUAUUUUGUUGGUUUCUAGGAUUGACGUAAUGAUUAAUAGGGAUAGUUGGGGGCAUUAGUAUUCAAUUGUCAGAGGUGAAAUUCUUGGAUUUAUUGAAGACUAACUACUGCGAAAGCAUUUGCCAAGGAUGUUUUCAUUAAUCAAGAACGAAAGUUAGGGGAUCGAAGACGAUCAGAUACCGUCGUAGUCUUAACCAUAAACUAUGCCGACUAGGGAUCGGAUGAUGUUAAUUUUUUAAUGACUCAUUCGGCGCCUUACGGGAGA
rnacentral:rRNA from 1 species